AAUGCGGGGCGGGCCCGGCGCGGCGCGCGCGGCGGUGCAGGGGGACGUGAGGCCCGUGAGGUCGAUCCCGGGGAUGCGUCUCUCGCAGCAGCAGCAGCCAGCUCCCUGCUUGUCUGGAUGCUCAGGGAAGCGCCCGCCUCUGUCAGCAACUUUCCCGUCUGAAAAAUAACAAUACAGCCGUUCUGCUGCAUUUGCCACAUGGCCGCAUCAGUGCAGGAGUACAUUCAGAUGAGGGCUCCUCCUCGCUGUCCGAAUUGUUCAUGAACGUGAUCAUCGCCACUUUCCAAGGGAGCACUCACGAGGGCACGGCCAAGCACUACUCAGGGCUGCGGGGACAAGCAGAGCAGAGGGGAAGAAAACAGUGAACACCACACUGCAAAUAACUGGAAAUCUGAAGAGGAUUCAGCAGAUUCCAGCAGGGAGGCCCCAGCACACCGUGUAGCUCCAUCUUCUCCCAAGAGCAGAUUUAUCCUGCCCUCACCCAGGCAUGACAAUCCCUUCAGCUGCAAGCAUGGAUAUCAGCAAAACGCAGCACUAAAGAAACUUGCUUUUUCUUUACCACAGCUUUCACACUUGCUGCUUCUAUUUCCCCUCUCCCAUCAGCACACCUUACCUUCCACCAAGGAGGUUUCGCAGCACUCAGUGUUUGUUUGGCACAGCUUCACCUGACACACUGCUGCCUGUCAGAAAGCUCAGAGGGCUCAGCUCUUACACAACACUCCCGUGAGCAUCAGCAAGGAGCAGAAGUUUCUUAGUAACCUGGAGCCUCAGCUUUACAUAAGCCACUAAUUAGGAGCUACAUGCUGUCUUAUGACUGUUUAUUAACCAGAUGAAUUUUAUUAACAGUGCUUCUCUUUGCCAAUGAAGAGGUUUGCAUAGCAAGGGAUGACCAAUCUCCUUAGGAGAGCCACCUGUGGGUUUUUCCUUAUGUUGUUACUGUGAUUAAAAGCAAAACUACUUGGAUGGGCAAAAUCAUAGAGAAUAAAUGUGGGGGCUAGAAAUACUUGGCCUCUUUUCACCUAUGCAAAAAAAGCAGGCAAAGCAGUGACAGAGUACAGAAAGGAAAGGAAUAGCAAUUUUUUCUAGACACCAGAGGGAGAAGGUGCACUUCCCUGAAUACCACAGAACAGCCUUAAAACUGGGAUUUCAGGAAGUUAUAAAUGCAACUAAUAGGAAAAUUCUUUUUAGCAUUUAUUAAGUCAGCUUAACAAAGCAAUUAAUUAAUCACUUUCUGAUACUCAGCCACUUGUCCACAAGCAAAACCAUACCUCUAAGCAUUGUAAGCAGUUAUUUCUACCAGAACAACUCUCCUCUACAGAACCUUACCCAAGCUCCUGUGUCUCAGGAAAUAGAAGAGGAAGCUGAAGAAGGCACGUGAUUUGGACACAGUCACUUAAAUGUGAAUCAUACAUUCACAGCCCAACCAGCACUCCCUGACAUCAGAGUAGAUACUUUCAAGAUCUGUGAGAUAUUCUUGCUUCUCACUAAAGAAACUAAAAUUCAGUUUGGAGGAAGGAAAGAAGUAGGAGUAAGAGAACCCCCCGCUUUCUUUCACAGGCCUCCUCAACACAUCUGCACCUUCAAGAAAUUUUAGAACAACAGAUCAAUCCACCCAAGUGAAACAUUUUUCAGACAUCUGCUCCUCCCCUGGCUUCUCUUGCUUUUUCAUAUCAUUUUGUUCCUCCUUUGGUGAUAAAAGUGGUACAGUUAUGGGAAACAGAAGCAGGGCUAACCCUCACACCAGGCUUGUCAGCUUCAUAGUAAUCCCAUGUUCUUACUGAGUGAGCUGCUUAACACUUGUGUGCUUAUUUCUCACAGAGACCAAGAUCUCCUUUCUGGAUGCUUAACAUGCUCUUUUGACUGAGCACACAAUUUGAGUCGGGACACUAGAUUCUGCUCCAGUUAAAGGAUUUAGGUCUUCAAAGAAGUUGGAUACAUGAAGUCCUUCAAUCAUGAUAUACUUCUGGAUGAGGAAGAGGUUAAGUUAUGCACGCCACAGGAUCUGUGACCUAUAGAAUUUAAAUAACUCUCAAAACUUUCUGCUCAUGUCAGAGACCAGGAAGGAAAUUAAAAAAGAUAUACUCACUGAGAGUUUGGGACCAAUAUUUAGGUUUCAACAACUCAAUAAAAAUACCGAAGAACUUUUUCUCACAUUACUUAAGAAAUCAUUUUUGCUACCUAAAGAGAGCAAUUCUGCAGAGGACUUAGAAGGGACAUCCUGUUAGCCUACUUUCAAUACCCCAGUUAUGCCCACUGGAGGAGUUAAACCAAUAGCAAAACCACUGUGCCAAUUACUAACCUUCACAGUUACACUGGAAGAAAUAACCUCAUGUUGAAAUACAGCCAAUUUUAAGGGCAUUUUCUCCUAUGCUCCCCCAGCAAGGACAUGGACAUGCAAAGGUGCCAUGAUAGUUCUGGUCAGCAAGCAGAUUCACACCCACCAGGGAUUUUGUCUAAUGGCACUAUUUAUUCAUCAGAGGUGCACUUUGAACUGGCACCAAGGCUGUGCUGGCUGCCAGAGAGAGCUGUGGUUUGAGCAAGCUGUCCUCCAGGGGAGGAAGGACCAGCCUGGUCACUCUCACACACGUGCCCAGCAUGACAGCACCCUUUGGGCUGAGCAGAGGGAAAGAACAGAAAGCUGGAAACCUGCUUGACAAACAAAAAGGGAGCCACAGAGCACAGGGCAGCUAAGACAGGUGUGUUACAAAGCCACACUGUUUCUGGUUUCAUUUCACUACUUAAACUAAGGGAAAGGGCCUUGUGGAGAUGAUUUCUGCCUGCCAAAAGGAUGCUGCGUACACCAUAAUGGAAAACAAGGGAGCUUUCUAUGACAGCAAAUACAUCUGUGCAUAUUGACUGUUUUUCUAGACUGAGCUGAAAAAGGGGGAAGGACAGCUCAGGAAUGGAAAACAUGGAGGACUGAGAUAAACAUAAGCUGUAUUUGUAUUCACAGAAAGCUUUAGAGCUUGAUCUACUAAAUACAUUAAACAAUGUCCCAGGCCUUUAUCAAACUGAAGCACUAAGUUAUAUCAGGCAAGGUUCUCCUCUCUGCCUCUCAAAUCAUCAGGUCCCAUUCAAAAAAAUCAUAUAAUGCUUAAGAGCAAAAUGACCCAAAUCUCAAAACUGUAUGGCAAAAAUGAAAGGGGACAAAAACUAGGCCAGUAGUAAGUGCUUCCUAGAGAAGCUGAGGUGGGAAUACAAUUAAUCCUGCUUUACAGCACUCUUGUGAAUCCUGCAGGGAAGCAGGAAUCACUGAUUUUCUUUCCAGAUGUCCUUCAUGCGAGAACCUCUUUCCUCAACUGUGAAAAAGCUGCUUGAUGGAUUUUGAUUAAACUGGGCCAAUUACUAACAUU